rnacentral:rRNA from 1 species
UUAAGUUAUUAAGGGCGCACGGUGGAUGCCUUGGCACUAGAAGCCGAUGAAGGACGUUACUAACGACGAUAUGCUUUGGGGAGCUGUAAGUAAGCUUUGAUCCAGAGAUUUCCGAAUGGGGAAACCCAGCAUGAGUUAUGUCAUGUUAUCGAUAUGUGAAUACAUAGCAUGUCAGAAGGCACACCCGGAGAACUGAAACAUCUUAGUACCCGGAGGAAGAGAAAGAAAAUUCGAUUCCCUUAGUAGCGGCGAGCGAAACGGGAAGAGCCCAAACCAACAAGCUUGCUUGUUGGGGUUGUAGGACACUCUAUACGGAGUUACAAAGGACGACAUUAGACGAAUCAUCUGGAAAGAUGAAUCAAAGAAGGUAAUAAUCCUGUAGUCGAAAAUGUUGUCUCUCUUGAGUGGAUCCUGAGUACGACGGAGCACGUGAAAUUCCGUCGGAAUCUGGGAGGACCAUCUCCUAAGGCUAAAUACUCUCUAGUGACCGAUAGUGAACCAGUACCGUGAGGGAAAGGUGAAAAGCACCCCGGAAGGGGAGUGAAAUAGAACCUGAAACCGUGUGCUUACAAGUAGUCAGAGCCCGUUAAUGGGUGAUGGCGUGCCUUUUGUAGAAUGAACCGGCGAGUUACGAUUUGAUGCAAGGUUAAGCAGUAAAUGUGGAGCCGUAGCGAAAGCGAGUCUGAAUAGGGCGUUUAGUAUUUGGUCGUAGACCCGAAACCAGGUGAUCUACCCUUGGUCAGGUUGAAGUUCAGGUAACACUGAAUGGAGGACCGAACCGACUUACGUUGAAAAGUGAGCGGAUGAACUGAGGGUAGCGGAGAAAUUCCAAUCGAACCUGGAGAUAGCUGGUUCUCUCCGAAAUAGCUUUAGGGCUAGCCUCAAGUGAUGAUUAUUGGAGGUAGAGCACUGUUUGGACGAGGGGCCCCUCUCGGGUUACCGAAUUCAGACAAACUCCGAAUGCCAAUUAAUUUAACUUGGGAGUCAGAACAUGGGUGAUAAGGUCCGUGUUCGAAAGGGAAACAGCCCAGACCACCAGCUAAGGUCCCAAAAUAUAUGUUAAGUGGAAAAGGAUGUGGCGUUGCCCAGACAACUAGGAUGUUGGCUUAGAAGCAGCCAUCAUUUAAAGAGUGCGUAAUAGCUCACUAGUCGAGUGACACUGCGCCGAAAAUGUACCGGGGCUAAACAUAUUACCGAAGCUGUGGAUUGUCCUUUGGACAAUGGUAGGAGAGCGUUCUAAGGGCGUUGAAGCAUGAUCGUAAGGACAUGUGGAGCGCUUAGAAGUGAGAAUGCCGGUGUGAGUAGCGAAAGACGGGUGAGAAUCCCGUCCACCGAUUGACUAAGGUUUCCAGAGGAAGGCUCGUCCGCUCUGGGUUAGUCGGGUCCUAAGCUGAGGCCGACAGGCGUAGGCGAUGGAUAACAGGUUGAUAUUCCUGUACCACCUAUAAUCGUUUUAAUCGAUGGGGGGGACGCAGUAGGAUAGGCGAAGCGUGCGAUUGGAUUGCACGUCUAAGCAGUAAGGCUGAGUAUUAGGCAAAUCCGGUACUCGUUAAGGCUGAGCUGUGAUGGGGAGAAGACAUUGUGUCUUCGAGUCGUUGAUUUCACACUGCCGAGAAAAGCCUCUAGAUAGAAAAUAGGUGCCCGUACCGCAAACCGACACAGGUAGUCAAGAUGAGAAUUCUAAGGUGAGCGAGCGAACUCUCGUUAAGGAACUCGGCAAAAUGACCCCGUAACUUCGGGAGAAGGGGUGCUCUUUAGGGUUAACGCCCAGAAGAGCCGCAGUGAAUAGGCCCAAGCGACUGUUUAUCAAAAACACAGGUCUCUGCUAAACCGUAAGGUGAUGUAUAGGGGCUGACGCCUGCCCGGUGCUGGAAGGUUAAGAGGAGUGGUUAGCUUCUGCGAAGCUACGAAUCGAAGCCCCAGUAAACGGCGGCCGUAACUAUAACGGUCCUAAGGUAGCGAAAUUCCUUGUCGGGUAAGUUCCGACCCGCACGAAAGGCGUAACGAUUUGGGCACUGUCUCAACGAGAGACUCGGUGAAAUCAUAGUACCUGUGAAGAUGCAGGUUACCCGCGACAGGACGGAAAGACCCCGUGGAGCUUUACUGUAGCCUGAUAUUGAAAUUCGGCACAGCUUGUACAGGAUAGGUAGGAGCCUUUGAAACGUGAGCGCUAGCUUACGUGGAGGCGCUGGUGGGAUACUACCCUAGCUGUGUUGGCUUUCUAACCCGCACCACUUAUCGUGGUGGGAGACAGUGUCAGGCGGGCAGUUUGACUGGGGCGGUCGCCUCCUAAAAGGUAACGGAGGCGCUCAAAGGUUCCCUCAGAAUGGUUGGAAAUCAUUCAUAGAGUGUAAAGGCAUAAGGGAGCUUGACUGCGAGACCUACAAGUCGAGCAGGGUCGAAAGACGGACUUAGUGAUCCGGUGGUUCCGCAUGGAAGGGCCAUCGCUCAACGGAUAAAAGCUACCCCGGGGAUAACAGGCUUAUCUCCCCCAAGAGUUCACAUCGACGGGGAGGUUUGGCACCUCGAUGUCGGCUCAUCGCAUCCUGGGGCUGUAGUCGGUCCCAAGGGUUGGGCUGUUCGCCCAUUAAAGCGGUACGCGAGCUGGGUUCAGAACGUCGUGAGACAGUUCGGUCCCUAUCCGUCGUGGGCGUAGGAAAUUUGAGAGGAGCUGUCCUUAGUACGAGAGGACCGGGAUGGACAUACCUCUGGUGUACCAGUUGUCGUGCCAACGGCAUAGCUGGGUAGCUAUGUGUGGACGGGAUAAGUGCUGAAAGCAUCUAAGCAUGAAGCCCCCCUCAAGAUGAGAUUUCCCAACUUCGGUUAUAAGAUCCCUCAAAGAUGAUGAGGUUAAUAGGUUCGAGGUGGAAGCAUGGUGACAUGUGGAGCUGACGAAUACUAAUCGAUCGAAGACUUAAUCAA